rnacentral:rRNA from 1 species
GAGUUUGAUCCUGGCUCAGAACGAACGCUGGCGGCAUGCCUAACACAUGCAAGUCGAACGAAGGCUUCGGCCUUAGUGGCGCACGGGUGCGUAACGCGUGGGAACCUGCCCCUCGGUUCGGAAUAACAGUUAGAAAUGACUGCUAAUACCGGAUGAUGACUUCGGUCCAAAGAUUUAUCGCCGAGGGAUGGGCCCGCGUAGGAUUAGCUUGUUGGUGGGGUAAUGGCCUACCAAGGCGACGAUCCUUAGCUGGUCUGAGAGGAUGAUCAGCCACACUGGGACUGAGACACGGCCCAGACUCCUACGGGAGGCAGCAGUGGGGAAUAUUGGACAAUGGGCGAAAGCCUGAUCCAGCAAUGCCGCGUGAGUGAUGAAGGCCUUAGGGUUGUAAAGCUCUUUUACCAGGGAUGAUAAUGACAGUACCUGGAGAAUAAGCUCCGGCUAACUCCGUGCCAGCAGCCGCCGUAAU